rnacentral:lncRNA from 1 species
GUUCAUCCAUCUGCUGCCUGUUUGUUUCGCUGCAAAUACUCCGAGGUAGUCAGGAAUCAACUUGAAUUCUUCAUUAAGCAAAUUCACAGCUGACAGCUCAGUUAAACUCUUCAAUGUUUGUUUCACAGCCUGCAGUCUAACGUCAGGUGCAUAUGGCUUCAACAAACGCGAACAGACCCUUUGCCACCCGGAACAGUGUUGAAAUGUAAGGAGCGCGAGCUUCAGAUGUCUCUAGUGCUGCCCAUUACCUUCCUGGAGAAUCUGCAUUUCUCUGCUCUCCAGCUGAAUGAUCCGACCUGCCCAGUGUUUUAUAACUCGACCCAUGUCACAGCCACCUUCCCUCUGACGGGCUGCGGAACCAAGAGGAUGCAUUUAGGAUCAGAAUUGGUGUACACCAACACUUUACGCAGCAUCAAUCCCAACACCACUAUAAGCCGUGUGGCUACUCUCAUCCUGCCACUCGCCUGCCGGAUUCCCGGUCAACAAGCUAAAGGUCCAGCUUUUAAGAUCUCCAUUCCUGAAGAAGUGAAGACAUUUGGUGUAGUGUCUUUCUGGCUCGAGUUCCACCCUCCAGGAGAGGGUCCUAUGGCCGCCGAGACACGUCUGCCUCGUUUGCGUGGUUCACCGCCGGUGCGCGAGGCUCGAGAGCUACGUGCUACACGCAAGAUGGACAAGCUGGACCUGCAUGUGUUUUCAAACUGCUCUUUGGCUCGUGCUGAGCUCAUGGUGGGCCACUGUGUUGAGUCGGAAACAGAAAACUUUAAAAAUACAAGGC